rnacentral:rRNA from 1 species
CCUACGGGUGGCAGCAGUGAGGAAUCUUGGUCAAUGGGCGCGAGCCUGAACCAGCCAAGUAGCGUGAAGGAUGACUGCCCUACGGGUUGUAAACUUCUUUUAUCAAGGAAUAAAGUGAGGCACGUGUGCCUUUUUGUAUGUACUUUAUGAAUAAGGAUCGGCUAACUCCGUGCCAGCAGCCGCGGUAAUACGGAGGAUCCGAGCGUUAUCCGGAUUUAUUGGGUUUAAAGGGAGCGUAGAUGGGUUGUUAAGUCAGUUGUGAAAGUUUGCGGCUCAACCGUAAAAUUGCAAUUGAUACUGGCAGACUUGAGUACAGUUGAGGGAGGCGGAAUUCGUGGUGUAGCGGUGAAAUGCUUAGAUAUCAAGAAGAACUCUGAUGGCGAAGGCAGCUUACUAAACUGCCACUGACAUUGAUGCUCGAAAGUGUGGGUAGCAAACAGGAUUAGAUACCCCAGUAGUC